rnacentral:lncRNA from 1 species
CUCAAGAAAGUGGGCCUGUGAAAAUGCAGUCGUGUUAGCAGCACACAGAAGGAUACAAGUGGUUAGAGGGACAAAACAUGACAUGUGGGUUUUGCUUUCUGCUGGUAUUUUUUUAGCCGUUGCUAAGCACUUGCGUGAUAAAAAGCAGCACCUGUCAGGGAUGCCUUAAAGCCUGAUACACAUAUUUGGAUUUUCCACAAACAUGUACACACAUCCUCACUUUCUCAGAGAUCACAAGGAGCAUUUUCUACUUGCAUACCUGGAUCACAACCAAAGAAAGAUUUCAGGAAAAGGCUGAGUUAAGUUUAUCUUUCAAAGGAAGACUCCUUUCCUACAUCCUACCAUGGAGGAAUGCAACACGGUGUUUUCACAUAAGGGAUCAGGCACAAAUUCAGGAGGAAUGACCCAGUGAGACUGCAUUUUUCUUACUUCUUCUCAAGAGAGUCAUUAAAAUCAAAGGCAAGAAAAUUGAUCAUGUCUUAUAUCUAAGAAAUUGGUAUUUGGCGUAAAAAUA